UACGAAGGGGGGCUAGCGUUGCUCGGAAUCACUGGGCGUAAAGCGCACGUAGGCGGCUUUUUAAGUCAGAGGUGAAAUCCCUGGAGCUCAACUCCAGAACUGCCUUUGAUACUGGAGAGCUUGAGUCCGGGAGAGGUGAGUGGAACUGCGAGUGUAGAGGUGAAAAUUCGUAGAUAUUCGCAAGAACACCAGUGGCGAAGGCGGCUCACUGGCCCGGUACUGACGCUGAGGUGCGAAAGCGUGGGGAGCAAACAGGG
rnacentral:rRNA from 1 species